AGCAGCCGCGGUAAUUCCAGCUCCAAUAGCGUAUAUUAAAGUUGUUGCAGUUAAAAAGCUCGUAGUUGAAUUUCGGGAUUGGCGCAUCGGUCGUGCCUCACGGGGUAUGAACUGGUGCAGUCAAUUUCUCACCUUCUGGAGAACCGCGAUGUCCUUAAUUGGAUGCCGCGGGGAACCAGGACCUUUACUUUGAAAAAAUUAGAGUGUUUAAAGCAGGCAUUUUUGCUUGAAUACAUUAGCAUGGAAUAAUAAAAUAGGACGGCAUGGUUCUAUUUUGUUGGUUUCUAGGACCACCGUAAUGAUUAAUAGGGAUAGUUGGGGGCAUUAGUAUUCAAUUGUCAGAGGUGAAAUUCUUGGAUUUAUUGAAGACUAACUACUGCGAAAGCAUUUGCCAAGGAUGUUUUCAUUAAUCAAGAACGAAAGUUAGGGGAUCGAAGACGAUCAGAUACCGUCGUAGUCUUAACCAUAAACUAUGCCGACUAGGAAUCAGACGAUGUUAAUUUUUA
rnacentral:rRNA from 1 species